AAUAAAUCAAGAGUGUGCUGAGGGCACUGGCCCAUAGAAGCACCGCCAACCGAGUCUUACGACCACGGUGGCAAAUCCAGCCCUUGAAAGAGGGAAAGAUUUGGC
rnacentral:ncRNA from 2 species